UACGUAGGUGGCAAGCGUUGUCCGGAUUUACUGGGCGUAAAGAGCGCGCAGGCGGUCGUGCAAGUCGCGUGUGAAAGCCCCCGGCUCAACUGGGGAGGGUCACGCGAUACUGCUCGACUCGAAGGCAGGAGAGGGAAGUGGAAUUCCCGGUGUAGUGGUGAAAUGCGUAGAUAUCGGGAGGAACACCAGUGGCGAAGGCGACUUCCUGGCCUGUUCUUGACGCUGAGGCGCGAAAGCUAGGGGAGCAAACAGG
rnacentral:rRNA from 1 species